rnacentral:rRNA from 1 species
AUUGAACGCUGGCGGCAUGCUUUACACAUGCAAGUUGAACGGCAGCGCGGGCUUCGGCCUGGCGGCGAGUGGCGAACGGGUGAGUAAUAUAUCGGAACGUACCCAAGAGUGGGGGAUAACGUAGCGAAAGUUACGCUAAUACCGCAUACGAUCUAAGGAUGAAAGCAGGGGAUCGCAAGACCUUGUGCUCCUGGAGCGGCCGAUAUCUGAUUAGCUAGUUGGUGGGGUAAAGGCCCACCAAGGCAACGAUCAGUAGCUGGUCUGAGAGGACGACCAGCCACACUGGAACUGAGACACGGUCCAGACUCCUACGGGAGGCAGCAGUGGGGAAUUUUGGACAAUGGGGGCAACCCUGAUCCAGCAAUGCCGCGUGAGUGAAGAAGGCC